rnacentral:lncRNA from 1 species
CGUACGAGAUGUCUAACCUGGAUCAAAGCUUAAGUUUUGUUUGAUUCCAUGCCGCAGAAAGAUGUAAUCUCAUGGACUGCGCUCCUCGCUGCAAAUGCCGGAAGAAGGGACCUUGUGGAACUUGGUCUGCUGCACGACCGUGAUCCAGAUGCUGGCUCAGAACCGAAGCUUGGAUCAAGCACGCGAUAUCUUUGAUCGAUUGCCUGAAAGGAACAUCGUCGCCUGGACUGCAAUGAUCCAAGCCUACCUUCAAAGCUGCCAGUUCCACCAAGCGAAGCUAUCAACUCCUGAUUCCACGCUCUCCACCUUGCUGAUCUCUUCCCUCCCGCGAGACGCUUCCAUCGACGACGCCAUCGCUAUCUUCAACCGCAGCUCCCCGUGCGAUCCAAGAACCUGGGAGGCGACUCUCUCGGCCUUUUUGCAACUUAGUCUCGUCCAGGAAGCUAGGAUCAUGCCACAACACUCGACGAUCGAGCCAUAUUGGUGUGGAGAACGAAUGGUGCCUAGAGGACGCAGCAUGCUCUUCCGUAAUGGUGCCGGCAAAUGCAAGACGGGACUCUCCAAUCACAACCAGCAACCGAAAUAAAUGGUUGCUAGCAAUGAAUUUAGUUCUUCAGUACAUACCAACACUAUCAGUUAUUACAGGAUCCCAGCAAUGGAGUCACACAUCUUGGAUUACGUGCUUUCUAAUGAGCUAGUGAGUAUGGCAUUUGCAAUGGUGGCUAAAGAUAAACAGACCAACCGUGUCCUUGUGUUGCUUCUUUUUACUCUUCCUCGGCUCAGAAAAACUCUGGUUCCAUACAGUGGACCUGUAUGGUGACGAGCAAGAUUUUGCGUUUCCAGACCUUCAAGCUGGAACAACGUGUACAGCUUGACUGCUUCUUUGCUACAGCCAUUCUGAGACAGCGCUGCUAUGGUGGCAUUCCAGCACUUACCGGCCCGUGCUGAGCGCAAGCAGCGAUCAUGGCGAUCCAGGAAACACUGGUCGGCCUCGAGAUGGUCUCAAACAGUUUCUUUGCUUGCUCCAACUCUCCGUUUUGCUGCAACCAUGGCCGUGCAAGCCACGACGUCCUGCUCUCAGGUAUACUCGUGAAUAUAUACUCAGCUUCUUCCACUUUACAGCCCCGGGAGCACACAGAGAUCAUCGUCGUGAGCGACACCUCACUCCUCUGGGGCCUCAGGACGAGCAGAUAAUUCUCGCAGCAGCCACCGAGAGCCGAGUCCCACGGCACAAGAUAACGCCGAGGCAUGCAGUAGAAAAGCUCCAGAGAAUUUUCAAUGAGUCCGGCCCGAGAAUACGCAGCCAUCGUCUCGUUACACAGCACGGUGUUGGCGGAGCCAAAUUUCGCAAAGAACCGGCUUGCCUCAACGAGAAAACCAUUCCGGGCAUAGGCAAACACCAUCGCGUCCCUACAGGCAGCGUCCCUCACCGGGAGAGUAUCGAGUGGAGCUCACAAUGUCGAAGGUGUUCUCUCGAAGGUGUUCUUGGCGGGCUCGACACUGUCACUGGCAACGUAUCCUUGGAGUAGGAGACGACGUUCCUCUUGGCCAUGACAUCGAAGACACUGCGUGCUUCGGUGUUAUGCCUGGCUUGGGCAUAGCACUGGAGGAUGGUGGUUCAAAAACAGGCUUCUCAGGCGGGCAUUGCGUGAAAGAUGUCGCGAGCGGCCUCCGGAUCGUGGUCCUGAGAGAAGCACCGGAUCAUCGUGUUGAAAGAGAUGGCAUCCCGGUGCUCCAUUCGAUCGAAGAUGAGCUUGGAGCUCGCGGUAUCGGUUUGAGCGAGGAGAAUGAUCGUGCAAGCAGCGAUUCCACCACGCGCCCUUCGCUUGAUUGCUCGUGCUCGCUGUAAACCUCCUAUAAAGAUAUGCAGAGUUCGAUGGAACUUUCACACACGACAACAAAUACAUUCGGCGGACUCGUCUCUCACAGAGUGGUCGCAGCAGUCCAGGUUCCCUCCCCACUGCGCUCCUCUCGGGCUUCCUUCUCAUCGCCAGUGGCCACACAAAAUCAUGCAACUAGAAAGGAAAUGUAGCAGGAUGCAAAGGCGUCGCCAAUGGAAAAUAAACAUUUCAGCCGCGGGCACCUCCAAGAUAAUUAAAGGUCCACUCUUAAACACUGUUCAUCUUGAUGUCUUUUUUAUUUCAAACACUUUUUAACUGUAUAUUUCAUUUAAUUAAGAUUCUAAUUUCCAUAUUAAAUUUUAGAUAUGGCAUAAUAUAUGGUUAUUUGUAUCAGAUGCCCAUAAUACGUUAUUAGGAAACUUUGAUUUAUAAAUAACUAAAUUACAAUCAUUUUGGACUACAAAAUAUGUUGGCAUAAAACAUUCAAGUUUAGGGCUGCAAUAUUUAUUUGAAGACCACAAUACUUCCUGAAUAUGUUUCAAUGCAAGAUUGCCAUUAUUUUGUAAUAUUAAGUUGCAAGUAAACAAAUUUUUAAAAGAAUAAUUUUUUUCCCAAAUUAUUUUUUCUUCUGAAUAUAAAGUAAGCACACAAUCUUCUUUUAAAAAUAAUAUAUUUUUGCCAUUAGGAGAAACUAAAAAGCUAUCACUAUAAAGAAUUGUAUUAGAAUAUAACACACUAAAUCUUAGUUGGCAAUAAAUAAUAUGAUCGAUUAAACUUUUUUUAUUUAAAUAUGCAGUUAUAGAAAUAGAAUCAUCUGUUUUUAGAUUAUAUUUUAUUAUAUAUUUAUACCCUUCCUUUUCAAAAGAAUCUGCACAUUCUGUGUUUAUAAUAUCUGUAUUUAAAGCUAAUAAACUUUGCAAACCCUUCAAUAUGUUUAAACUUGUAAUUGAUUCAUUUGUGUUUUCAACAGAACAAUGAUCUUUGCAUUUAAUAAAUACUGAAACUAUUCCUCUUGAAGUAUUGACUUCAGCAUCAUCACCAUAAGUUGCUGGAUAAAUUUCAUCAUAUUUAAUUUUUUCUAAUAAUUGAUAAAAAGCUGUAAUAAUUUUACCAAUAUCAUAAGGAUUUAAAUAUGAACUUCUUCCAAUAAUAGGUUUUUUAGCGAUAGAUUUAUUAAAGUGUAAAAUUAACAUAGUAGCUAUAACUAAAAUGUAUAUUAAUCUAACUUUAUCCAUUUUCAAAAAUAUUCAUGUUUUUAUGUUUUAUAUAUAUAUAUAUAUAUAUAUAUAUAUAUAUAUAUAUAUAUAUAUAUAUAUAUAUAUAUAUAUAUAUAUAUAUAUAUAUAUAUAUAUAUAUAUAUAUAUAUAUAUAUAUAUAUAUAUAUAUAUAUAUAUAUAUAUAUAUAUAUAUAUAUAUAUAUAUAUAGAUAUAUAUAUAUAUAUAUAUAUAUAUAUUGGUGGGACAUAUGAAUUUCUCUCUAUAAAGCUAUACCAAAUGUACUUCAAUAAAGAUUCAGAUAAACAAAAGGAUGAUAUGCCAAUUGUGUUUAUCUCAUAAUUGUAGCGCAUGUGAUCAUGGGAUGAAAUUUGGAUAUACUAUCACCGUAGAUCUUUGGAACUUUGGGGGAUAAAUGGGGAUAAUAUAGCCACUAAAGGCUCUUUCAUCAAGCAAUUGCCUCUUUUCCAGUUGGCUUAAGGGGAGAGAGAUAAAGUGCACUACAAUAAUAAAACAAAAUUAAAAUAAAACAAUAUAUAUUAAAAUGUUUUGCCUUUAUGUGGCAAUCAUAUGUAUCAAUAACAGUUUUUUGUUUGCUAUAAGUAAAGCUGUUAUAGGUGGUAUAUUUGAGAAUACUCUUAUAAUAUUAUCAUUUGAUACUUUGGAUUAAAUGUAGUAAUAGAAUCAAUGGAUUAUAUUGAUUUGAAAGUGUUUAAGAAAUUUAAAUUUUAUAAUUAUAAUUGUGAAAAAAUAUUAAUAACAUUAAUUAUAAAAGACUUUUGCAUAUUCUUAAACACCUUCUGUCAAACCGGACAAAUAUUUUUGCCAUCUUUCCCAAGAGAGUGUGUAUCUUGUUUCCCAAUCUUGCCUUAUUAAAAAUUGAAAUUACAAAUGAAAAAUUAACACAAUUUAGGUGCAUUAGGGGUGGCUAAUGUGCCUCUAUCAGUGCUACAAGUGCAAUUGGUGUACCUAAAAUAUGUUCAGAUAUUUUGGGAUAUUUUAUUAUUUAACAAUUGUUAUUUAUUUAGAUUAAUAUUGUGUUUAAAAGUUAUAAUAAUAUUUAUAAUUUAUAAAUUUUCCCAAGAUCCUCCAUGCUCAACAAAGUUUUUUUAUAAACACAAAAACAAAAAAAAGCACUAAAAUAAAUUAAAUGAGGGCCAGAUGAAAUAAAUUCUCAAUGAUAUAAGAUCAAACAAAGGAUCCAUUUUAAAUUUACAAAACCAAAAGAACUAGAAGAACAAUUAUAAUUAAAACCCAUAGGACAAACCAGUAUUAGCAUACUAGAUUUAAGUUCCUAACGUGUAGAAAUCUCUCAAUUUGUAUGUUUUGGUUCACAAGACAAGAUAUAGAGCUGUUGUGCAAAAAUUGCUAACAAGUAGAUCUAGAGCUGUUGCUUUUAAAUCAGCAGUAAGACAAGGAAAGAAUAGCAAAAGAUCUAAAGCAAUAGGAGAAGAUUUAAUAACUAGAAUCUUAGUAAGUUCCUCUACAGCACCAACACCUUAAUUUCCUUCUUAGCAAUCAGUAGUUAGGUGUAAACUCUUGAGUUUGGACUUCCCGAGAAGUCACCUAGCCCAGUACUAUUCAAACCCAAGGACAUUUAACCCCAAAUAUCUUAAAACCUAAUUAGAAAUUAAUAACAAAAAUAACCUUAAUCGAUUGGAAAAAGGGGUGCACUUUUAUUCAUGGCCCUUUCCCUUUAUAUUUAAACCUUAUGGAUCGUCUCUCAAAUUAUUUUCUUUGGUUACUUACAAUCCACCAUGCUUUAUUGCAAAUUCAUGCCCUUGUGAGCAAAAGUUGAGAGUUGCAGCUCUCUCGAGAGCCCCACUCUCUUAACACCCUACCCUUUAAGUCAAGCUCAGCGGGAGCAAAUUAGACCAACCAGAUGUCAAUCAAUAUGUGGUGUGAUUCCCUUAGCCAACCAACAAAGUCAGAUCCGAGACCCCUCUGAUGCCAAAUGUAAGCUCUUGAGUUUGAACUUCCCAAUAAGUCACCCAGCCCAGUAUUAUUUAAACCCAAUGACACUUAACCCUAAGUAUUCCAAGACUUUUAACCGAUUGGAAAAAAGGGUGCACUUUUGUUCAUGGGCCCUUUCCCUUUAUAUUUGAACUUCAUAGAUCGUUUCUCAAGUUGUUCUCUUUGGUUGUUUACACUAGGUCUUUGGUGAAUUAGCGGUGGCAAUAUCCUCCAUACUAUUAACCAAGCCAUUGUGUGGAUGCUAUGCAAAAUCAAAGAUGGUGUGAGGAAAUAUAAGCAAGAAAACUAGCAGCCUCACUGUGCUAAACAAGAGAAAGAGACCACAAAACCCAACAAUUGAGAAGAAAUCAAAGCACAUUUCUAAAAGUGAUGAUAGUUAAUUGAGCUUGGUCUCAUGUUGUGAAGCUCUUAACUUAUUUCUCUGGCAAAGGAGUUAGCCAUUGGAAAUAUCACAAUACCAUUGGAAAUAUAACUAUUGUGAAAAAACAUAUAGCAAUCCACCAACAGACCCAACUAUGGCCCAGCCAUAUAUUGAAGUGUGUAAGUACAUAUAUGCCAUCCCACCUCCUAGUGUUGGAUGCUGCCAUCAAAAUCCUUAUUGAGUAGCACCACUAGCAAUCACCACUACCACUAAGAGCUACAUGCUUCUCCAAGCACUCCAUCAUGCUUGCCAUACUCAUGCUUUUGAUUCAGAACACUAUCAACCUCUCUGACCAAACUCUAAACAAUUGUAUUACUUUUGCAAACACUCAUUUGUUCUUUUUGUAGGAAGAACAAAGCUGAAAUUAGUUGUUUGGUCUUUCUCACAUUUAGUUCCCACCACCAUUAGCACCACUAUAAACACCAUUUCCACCUGGGCUUAACUUUGGGCAACAAACAGUUAUUUAAAUAUCAGUCUUACUCGUACAGAUUAAAGGCUUCUCCCUUCUUUACAUAAUCCACGAAAACAAAAGAGGGGAUAUUAUCUAAUCAAUCCAACCAACCAUGUCCAAAUUAUUUUCUAGUUUUGGCUGAGAGAUUUAUAUUAUUUUCAUUAUACAUUUUUUGUGUUAAUGCCCUAGAUUCGGACAUUGAAAUGAGGAUAUUCUAAGGAUAUACUUUACUGCAACAAACACUUUUACUUUUGACCAGUCAAAUAAGUAAGGGCGACCUAAGUAAGUUAUAACUAAAAUAUUUUCAAGUCAUUAGGGUAAAAGUGUGAGCAUUUCGAUGCUUGGCGAUGUCAACUACUUGGAGCAGCUGGGAUGCCUUUCUCGCAUUGCUGCGAGGGUUUCUGCGAGUGGGUGUGUGAGAGGUUGGAGAGAAUGUUCCCUCUCAUAAUCUCAUACACGCAUGCGAACCAGCAGGCUCGUUAUGCUGCUGGCACGGUAUAAAGCUUUCAGAGUUUUCUUUUCUCCGCUGAUCAUACUGGGUGUUUGAUUAGAUGUUCGUGACCGGCAACCGCGAGUUUGUUUUGCUGAAUGCAAAUCACAUGGAGCUCCUGGUGGAGACGUUUAUGGAGCGGCACAGGAUCUGGUGUGGUUCGUGAGCAAGGAUCAGAAGGUGACCAGGGACGAGGUUUACAUCUGCUUCCCCGAGAUCAGCCAAAUAGGUGACCUUAUAGUCUCUUUAUCACUCUUCCAGCUCUCAAAUUCUCUCAUUUCUUUUGCAGCUCGCCGUCGUCUCGCCUCUGUGAUGGCUCUCAAGCUCGCUCCAAUUCAUCAAGAACUUCAAAACGUCAAUGGAAAUCAACAAAAGUCAACAAAGUCAAUAAACCUCAAAGACUAUUGACUUUCUUUGCAUCCUAAACAAUGUCCAUCGUAUGAGACAGCCGCACGAUUUGGUGGCGCUCUUGCGAUCGUGCGGCUUCCAUCGCGACCUGGCGCGCGGUCGGCGAAUUCACGCGCAGAUCCUGUCGUGCGAGCAGUGGCCCUCGAAUUUCCUUGCGAAUCAGCUCGUCCUCAUGUAUGGCAGAUGCAAGAGCGUCGAGGAGGCGUGCGAGGUCUUCAAUGGCAUCACCCAGCCGGAUCUCUUCUCGUGUAACAUCAUGCUCGACGCAUUUGCCAAGAACGGGCAAUUGUGUCAGGCAAAACACUUCUUUGAUUUCAUGCCCGCUCGAGAUGCCAUUUCGUGGAAUGUGAUAAUCAAAAUUUUUGCCUUAAGCGAAAAUUUGCAAUGCCUAGACACUGUGUGUAAUCGGCUGCCUGCUUACGGCAUAAACUCCUGGAACUCUAUCAUUGCAGCAUUUGCCCAGUUCGGGGAAAUACUCCAGGCUAAGCUUUUCUACGAGAAGAUGAAACGUUAUACUGACGACACUAUUGUCGCAUCGACUGCUAUAAUAGUUGCGUAUGGGAGGUCUAACCUGGCCCACGAAGCUAAAGUUUUGUUUGAUUCCAUGCCGCAGAAAGAUGUAAUCUCAUGGACUGCGCUCCUCGCUGCAAAUGCCGGAAGAAGGGACCUUGUGGAACUUGCAAGAAUGAUCUUCGCGGCCAUGCCGCAGUGGAACUUGGUCUGCUGCACGACCAUGAUCCAGAUGCUGGCUCAGGACCGAAGCUUGGAUCAAGCACGCGAUAUCUUUGAUCGAUUGCCUGAAAGGAACAUCGUCGCCUGGACUGCAAUGAUCCAAGCCUACCUUCAAAGCUGCCAGUUCCACCAAGCGAAGCUCCUCUUCGAUCAAAUCCCAUUCCCUCCCGAUUCCACGCUCUCCACCUUGCUG